UAUCUUGUUGUUUUCAGGUGGAUGACUUCACAAUUUCAAUACUCCACACAAUGACAGAAAUUGCACAGUAUCCAUCUGCAAUCCGCCAG